CUGGUAUGUAUAGUCCCAACAAACAAAUGAGAAGAUUUAUCAGAAUUUUUGAAAUAUAUUUUAAGACUAACAGGAUUGUGAAUAAACACCAACAAGAGCAUCAAAGGAACAAGAAAGAAACAUCACCAGCCUUAAGAAGUCUCCAUGCGUCUUUUCCUCUGCUUCAAUAGCUUUAUUAAGAAUUCCACCUGAUGUUGCACUAGUGAAAAAAUUAUAUUCAAUGAAUAAAUAAUUGGAAACUUCAAAGUCUGUAGUUAACUAAAUUACUAAUGACGAUUAAGAGAUUCACUCCGCAAAUUAUUCAAGAAACUUUUGCAGAUAAUAUUAAUUAGAUUUUGCAGCAAUUUUUCAAUAUUCUUUUCAUUCCCAUUGAAGGAUCAAGCAUUACGAGCCAAAAUGCAAACACAGGGCAUUACUUGAGUAGCAACUUAAUCAAUUGUCACAAGUUGUACAAGACUUUUCAAUCCAAAAGAAGGCUGAAUUGUAGAAUAAAAUGUAAUCCUAUCAUUAAAAGCCCAAACGAACAUUAUUAACUAGAUUUUUAAAUUUCUUGAAUCCUAAAACCGAGAAGUUCAUUUGUAUAAAGCUAUCAGUUCCGGCCUCACUGUUCUACUCAUCCCCGUCUCGCUCAAUUUAGCCGAUUAAUAAAGCAGCUCAAGAAAUGUUUCUAAAAUUUAAUAAAUGAGAAAAUUCUAUAAUGAAUUAUUGUAAUACUAAAACACAACAUUACCCAGAAAUGUAAUAGAACCUUUAACAAACACAUGGAAUGCAAAACCCAUAUGUAAAAAAUAUAUCAUUAAUGCAAGAGUCAGAACAACAUCCUAUACUAUAUAUAAAUUUAUAAUCACAAAUCGAGUAAGAGAAACAAUCAAACAAAAUAAUAAUGCAAAAAAAAAAAAUUGAAAUCCAUAAAAAAAAAAUCAUACUUAGGGUUUAAAAGAGAUGAGAACUUUGAAGCUCAUGUCGAAGAUAGUUGAGAUAACGGCGAAGCUCACCAUCACUUGCUAGAAAUCGCUGAGAAAUAGGUAAAGCUUGCUUGCGAAUGAGUGUUGC
rnacentral:lncRNA from 1 species